rnacentral:rRNA from 1 species
AAUCCCUUAUCGAUUAACAAUUAGAGGGCAAGUCUGGUGCCAGCAGCCGCGGUAAUUCCAGCUCUAAUAGCGUAUAUUAAAGUUGUUGCAGUUAAAAAGCUCGUAGUUGGAUUUCGGCGUGCGCUCAGGCUGGUCGGCCGUCAAGGUCUGUACCGUUUGGGUCACGCCCCACUGUAGGAUACUCACCGCUGUCCUUAACUGGGUGGCGGUCAAAGGGGGUGUGCAUGGGGGCAACUCUGUGCAUAUCUCUGGGGUUCCUACUCUUUUACUUUGAGCAAAUUAGAGUGUUCAAAGCAGGCAAUCGAGCCUUGAAUACUUCAGCAUGGGAUAAUGGAACAGGACUGGGGUCCUGAUUUCGUUGGUUUCUGGGAUCUCAGUAAUGAUUAAUAGGGAUAGUUGGGGGCAUUAGUAUUUAAUUGUCAGAGGUGAAGUUCUUGGAUUUAUGAAAGACUAACUUCUGCGAAAGCAUUUGCCAAGGAUGUUUUCAUUAAUCAAGAACGAAAGUUAGGGGAUCGAAGACGAUCAGAUACCGUCGUAGUCUUAACCAUAAACGAUGCCGACCAGCGAUUGGGAGACGUUACAUGGAUGACUCCCCCAGCAGCUUGCGAGAAAUCACAAGUCUUUGGGUUCCGGGGGGAGUAUGGUCGCGAGGCUGAAACUUAAAGGAAUUGACGGAAGGGCACCACCAGGAGUGGAGCCUGCGGCUUAAUUUGACCCAACACGGGGAAACUUACCAGGUCCAGACAUAGUAAGGAUUGACAGAUUUGAGAGCUCUUUCUUGAUUCUAUGGGUGGUGGUGCAUGGCCGUUCUUAGUUGGUGGAGUGAUUUGUCUGGUUAAUUCCGUUAACGAACGAGACCUUAACCUGCUAAAUAUGUCACUGGUAGACUUCUGCCAAAACAGGUGGGUGUCUAGGGGAAAGUUUCGAUGGACUCCGACGCAUUCAUCUGUGGAUGACUACCAGGAUGUACUUCUUAGAGGGACUAUCUGUAUCAAAGCAGAUGGAAGUUUGAGGCAAUAACAGGUCUGUGAUGCCCCUAGAUGUUCUGGGCCGCACGCGCGCUACACUGACAAGUUCAACGAGUUUAACACCUUGCUCGAUAGGGCUGGGUAAUCUUUGAAAAACUUGUCGUGAUGGGGAUAGAUCAUUGUAAUUAUUGGUCUUCAACGAGGAAUUCCUAGUAAGCGUGAGUCAUCAGCUCGCGUUGAUUACGUCCCUGCCCUUUGUACACACCGCCCGUCGCUCCUACCGAUUGAAUGAUCCGGUGAAAUGUUGGGAGCUGGGGUCUUUUGGCGGCGGGGCAACUCGUCGUCAGGGAUUCUGCAAACUUCAUUAAACCUUAUCAUUUAGA